rnacentral:rRNA from 1 species
GCGGCGACCUGGUGAGUAACACGUGGAUAAUCUACCUUUAAGUUGGGGAUAAGCUUCCGAAAGGGGGUCUAAUACCGAAUAAUAUCGUUGGAUGGCCUCAUCCGACGAUCAAAGGCGGCGCAAGCUGUCGCUUAAAGAUGAGUCCGCGCUCCAUUAGCCAGUUGGCGGGGUAAGAGCCCACCAAAGCUACGAUGGAUAGCCGGCCUGAGAGGGUGUACGGCCACACUUGGAACUGAGAUACGGUCCAGACUCCUACGGGAGGCAGCAGUAGGGAAUAUUGCGCAAUGCUCGCAAGAGUGACGCAGCGACGCCGCGUGGGCGAUGAAGCUUCUUGGAGUGUAAAGCCCUGUCAGGAGGGACGAAUGAUCGCAGUCGUAACUGGCUGCGAUUUGACGGUACCUUCAGAGGAAGCUCCGGCCAACUCCGUGCCAGCAGCCGCGGUAACACGGGGGGAGCGAGCGUUGUACGGAAUUACUGGGUGUAAAGGGCUCGUAAGCU